GGAGACGUGGCCGAGUGGUCGAAGGCGCUCCCCUGCUAAGAGGGCGGGCACCUUCAAUAAAACAAGGUGUUUCACUCAUAAUUUCUUCGAAAAUUCGACGAAUUGACAAAUGCUUGUCAUCUCUG
rnacentral:tRNA from 1 species